UUUUGUGAUUGGAUUCUUUGUACUAGGUGUCAUUGUGAAAUGCUUUUUCUUGGUUUGCAUGUUAUCUCCGUAAAAGCCUUUUUGCCAAAAUGCCUAUUUUCUCACCAAAUUAAAGGUAGUUAUUAUCAUUCAUGAAAAUUUUUGUAGGCACAUAAAAAAUGGAUGUCAGGGGGCUUUCAAAAACGAGGACUGUAAAUGCAUGGCAAACUUGGUACAGAAGAAGGACUUCCAUCUUCCUUACAACUAAUUGUUGCUUUGGAUUACUCCAGUCCAAGUGUUGGACUUUGUAUUUAUCUUUGUGAAAUCUCAUGCAAACAUUAAAAACCAACUAGAAGUA